AUUAGAGUGGAGUAGCCUACCUUGCAGAUCUGCUGAGUAGUGUUCCCUAUUGCAGGACAAUAUUCCUCCUGUACUCCAACUCUACCCCAUGAUGAAAGAUGACUGUCCUGCAGUAAUCACCACGCAGGAGUGCUCCCCUCAGAGCUCCUG